GUUGAAACACCAGUUCCUGUACAAUCACUGAAGUUAAGUGAUGUUGAGCUUGGGCAGUAUCUAGAUGGGUAACCACUUGGGAAUACCAGAUGCUGUAAG